rnacentral:lncRNA from 1 species
CCGGGCGGUGCCGCGGCGCGAUGCGCGGUGCAGGUGAGCGGCCGAGCAGCGCCCGCGGCCGCCGCCGCGUCCCGAGAGGGCGCCGAGGUUACUUCGAAACCCGGCGGGGUCGCGCCUGCAUCGCACCAGUGCUGUUCGGAGCGGAGGAGGCUUAUCCGAGUGCUUUGCGAGCAAGUACUGAAAGUUUCAGGCCGGAGGUUUUCCUGUGCUCUCCGUAGCUGCUGCCCAGUGCUGCCCUGAGGAGAAGCAGUGUUGUGAAGGCGGGUGCUGCCCUGAGGGAAAGCAGUGGGAAGGCUGCUGCUCCUUGCCUACAGGGUGUCAGGGCCAGGCUCAUCGCAAGGCCUGCUGG